rnacentral:piRNA from 1 species
UCAGCACACUGGUGAUGGCAACAGGACUGUU